UCACAGUUUGAGCUCAGUUGGCUUUAGAUAAGACAGAGUUUACUCAGUGUCUACGCACAUCACGUCUGAGUCACGCGAAGAAUCUGAACUGCAGGAUUUUAACACUGGAGGCUGGAGGGAGGAGCGAGCAGGGGCUGGUUUAAAAAGAGUCAACAGGGACCUUCACUCAGGAGCAAACGCACAAGCAAGUGCAGGAGAAAACACAUGUUGUUCUGGUCCUGAAGUUCUUUGGCUCCUGUAUGCGUCCGACUCAGGAAGCUUUUUCUUGACCAUCUGCCGCCACUUUGACUCCGAGAACCUUGGGACGACGAUGGAAGCUCUGAAGUUUGUGGCCGUGCUGCUCGUGGUCGUGUUCGUGCAGGUCAUCGGGACACUGGGGACGCCGCUCCCCAGCCAAGAGGAAGACGGGGAGAUGUGGACUGUGGACAACUGGCAGGGCUACCCAGUAGAGAGGGGAUAAGCAAUCGGCUUGCAGACCUUCUCAAGCGUUCCAAAUCGCAGCAGUUCCACGGCCUGAUGGGAAGAAGCUCAGGUGCAUCUCAGCCUGUGAGACUGGGGAGGAAGAGAAACAAAGGGGAGAUGUUUGUUGGACUCAUGGGCCGAAGGAGUUUAGGUGCAGAAG